rnacentral:lncRNA from 1 species
GCUCUCUUAAAUUUUCCACAUCCUCAAGGAUUUCCGGAAAGCUCCUUAAUCCUGAACAUCCUGAGCAGAAGAGAGUUGUAAGGGAUUUAAACUCACAUAUGCUACUGGGAAGACGCUCAAGGUUUUUGCAUUCUCGCAAACAUAAGCUAUCAAGUUCUAAGGGACACUCAAUAGUGGGUAGUUCAUUGAUGGCAUUUCCCUUUAAACAAAGCUUCCGUCGGGAUUGCACAUCUUCUUGACAUUCCCGGCAAAUGGUGGGUAUCAUUGCUUUACCAUUGUUCUUUUCAUGAUCAUGGGCAUAUAUAAGAUGGAUCCCACACUCUUCCACUUUCAUUGCUUUACCACGUGAGAAGCCACAAAAUGAAGCUGUCAACUGCCUCCAUUUAUUUGAGGGGUACUUCUUCACAAUCUCCACCUUCGGAUAAUAAGUCAUCCACAUUUUUGGUACAACAUCAUAGCAUUGACACGAGGGAUAAAACUGGAGUUCAUCCACAAACUGAAUUUUAUGACCACGCAAAGUCAAACCAUACUUGAAGUAAGUUGCAUCAUUCUCCAGUGUCUCCUCAGAUUCAUUAUCAAGUGGAUCAUAGAGAGAGUACAAAACAAAACCCAACAAGUCGUUAUUUUUAUACCAAUUUUGAGGAAGCUUUGCUACUACUUUAGCUCCCUUUUUGUGAUGGCUUAUCCAUUUUGGCAUUCCACAACUUACUGAAAUAAUAAGAUUUACUCGGGUAAAACGUUUUUCUCUAGGAUAAAUCUUGCAUUCAAAAUCCUGCAAAAAAUUUAAUUAACACGUAAAUCCCAAUGUCUCCACAAAAAAAGUUUUGUUCUAUGAAUAUCAUACCUGAAUCACUGAUUUGAAGCAGUUGAAUAGAGAAGACCAGAGUAGACCUGAAGAAGUAUCCAGCCGUGUGCACCCAUGUACAUCUAAGACACGCAAACUGGAUGGAAGCGCUGGAAUUUGUCGAAGCUCUUGACAGUGACCCAAGUCAAGGAGUCUCAGCAUAGAAAGUUGAUUGACCCCAGCAGGUAUGCUCCUAAAAAGAUUCCCGAUUAGCAGUAAUUGUCGCAGAGAUGAUAGGUGGCAAAUUUCGGUGGGGAUUCCUCCUUCAUCUAUACUGCAGCAAGAUAGAUUUAACACUUCCAACGAGUACAAGCAGCAAAUAUCACUCAGGAUUUCUCCUUGCAUUAGCUUUGACCCAUGUAGAAUUAGCUUCUCUAAGGAGCAUAAACCUGACAAAGAAAGCAAUUGGCAACAUGUUGAAUUUAAGCCACAAGCACGGAGAUGCUUCAAGCUUUGCAGCCUCCCCAGGUUUUGUGGCAAUUUGUGGAGUUUUGAACAGUAACCGACAUCGAGAACUUCAAGAAAGCAUAAAUCACAAAUGCUUUCUGGAAGAGUCACAAGGUUUUUGCAGCCGUUCAGAUUCAAAACUUCAAGCCUAUUCAAAUGUUUGAUUGAUGAUGGGAGCUCUUUUAUAGCCGUUUUGUUCAAAUGAAGCACCCUUAAGUUUUCCAUAUUCUCCAAGAUUUCUGGAAAGUACUGUAAUUGUGAACAGUGAGAGCAAAAGAGAGAUUUUAGGGAUUUGAACUCCCAAAUGCUUGUUGGCAGACUCUCAAGGUUUUUGCACUCUCGCAAACAUAAGGUAUCAAAUUCAGAGGCACGCUCAAUGGGUAGUAGGCUUAUUGUCUGACCCUUUAAACAAAGCUUUCGGUGUUCCACGUUCCUCUGACAUUCCAAGCAGCUAGCAUCCACAUCCCCAGUCUGUACUAUUGGAUCUUGGGCGUAUAUAGGUUGGAGCCCACACUUAAGCACCUUAAAAUGAUUGCCAGAGUCCUUAAAUAGAGCCCCAAGAAACAUGAAUGGAUUGGUGUGACAGCUCUCCAGAAUAGCAGCCUUGGGAUAGAAUAUCACCCACAUUUGUUCUGAUACACCUCCAUCGUGGUAGCAUUUACAAGUAGUGCGAAAACUGAGAUGUCGCACACACAUGGAAGAAAAUUUAUUUCUAUCAUACAAUGACAAUUGACAUUCUAACUCAGUGGAGAUUGAAGAUUCAGCUUCAAGUAAAUCAUCAGAUUCAUUCAGGGCUUCGUCGCCAGAUUCAUUCUCCGAUGCAUGUGCAAAAUCAUUUUCACAUUCAUCGAGUGGAGCAUAAACGAAGCAUAUAGCAAUUCCCAAGAAGUCAUCAUUUUCAUAACAAUUCUGAGGAAGCUCUAUUGUGAUGUGAUGUCUUUCUCUCUGAUUCCUUAUCCAUUUGGGAAUUCCAUUGCUUCCCGGAACAACAAUACAGACUCCAUCGCCAAUGUAGUUGGAAUUAGCGAGAAAUACUCCAUUUGAACUCUUCUUGUGUUUCAAAUCCUGCACAAAUGGACAAUGUAAAUCUAGUGAGUCUGUGUCAUUAUGUGAGUUUUUAUGAGAGAGUUUGUUAUCAAUUUUCGAUAAAUUGAUUCCCAGUUUUAACUUUCUUUGAUCUAUGCUCCUGAAUCUACUUAAUAUCCCUUUUAGAUGACGGAUAUGUUAGAAUUCAUGAGAGUUUGUCUUUGAAAAUGUCUUAGUUAGACUCAGUCUCUGUUUUGCUCCAUAAUUUUCAGUUUUUCUGUUAGUAGAAGUAGUUAUAGCAGCUGAGAGUUUUUAGCAUUUUCAGUUUGGUUGUAAGCCUAUAAAUAGGCAUUCUCAUUGGUGAAAUAUUGUCUCUUUCUCCAACUCAAUACUCUAAUAUUUUCUGCAAGUUUUAGUUCCUUAUUUUUCUCUAGAUUUUAACCGUGGUAUCAGAGCAUUAUUCCUACGGGCUGUGAGGCAAAGUUUUUUUUAGUAUUAAACACAGUGAGGUUGAGUGCAAACACUAGUGAGGUUGAGUGAUCUAUUUUUUUUUAAGCAACUGUGGUGCAAACAUGUCUCCUUCUAGCAAUACUUCCUCUGUAAUUCUAGUGUUUAAUGGUGAACACUAUCACAUUUGGGCUGUCAAGAUGAGGUUUUAUUUAAGGUCUCAAGGUUUGUGGAAUGUUGUGAUGUUUGAAGCUGAUCCACCACCAUUGGGAGCAAAUCCUAUAGUUGCUCAGAUGAAAGCAUAUGACGAAGAAAAACUAAAGAAAGACAAAGCCAUCACCUGCCUACAUUCAGGACUUGCAGACCACAUCUUCACCAAAAUCAUGAACUUGGAAACACCUAAACUGGUAUGGGACAAGCUCCAAGGUGAAUUUGAGGGCAGUGAAAGAGUCAAAACUGUUAGACUCUUCACAUUGAAGAGAGAGUUUGAGUUGAUGAAGAUGAAAGACGACGAAUCUAUCAAAGAUUAUUCUGGCAGGUUAAUGGAUGUUGUAAACCAAAUGCGGCUUCUUGGUGAGGCAUUUACAGAUCAAAAGGUGGUAGAAAAGAUCAUGGUUUCAAUGCCUCAAAAGUUUGAAGCCAAGAUUUCUGCAAUUGAAGAGUCUUGUGACUUGCAAACUCUCACAAUUGUAGAGUUAACUAGCAAGCUUCAUGCACAGGAGCAAAGGGUCUUAAUGAGAGGUGAUGAAGCUACUGAAGGUGCUUUUCAAGCAAAUCACAAGGGAAAGAAUUCUGGAAACUUGCAAGGAAAGAAGUUCUUCAAGAACAACAAAGGGAAAGCUGAAGGGUCUUCAAGAAAAGGAAAAUUUCCGUCUUGCUCUCAUUGUAGAAGAACCAACCAUGCUAAGAAAGAUUGUUGGCACAAAGGUAAACCUCUCUUUAAUUGUAAUUUCUGCAAUAAACUUGGCCACAGUGAGAAGUAUUGCAGAGCCAAGAAAAAACAAUCUCAACAACAACCAGAACAAAAUGCAAGUGUGACUGAAGAAGACAAAAAUGAUGAUGAGCAUUUAUUUAUGGCAUCACAAGCACUCAGUUCUCAUGAACUGAAUACUUGGCUCAUUGAAAGUGGCUGCACGAGUCACAUGACCAAAUAUCUGUCAAUAUUUACCUCCAUUGAUAGAUCAAUUCAACCAAAGGUCAAGUUGGGAAAUGGUGAAGUUGUGCAGGCCAAAGGAAAAGGGACAAUUGCUAUCAUCACCAAGAGAGGUACAAAAAUUGUCACUAAUGUUCUUUACAUUCCAGAUUUAGAUCAGAAUCUUCUUAGUGUUGCACAAAUGCUAAGAAAUGGAUAUGCAGUCUCUUUCAAAGAAAAUUUUUGUUUUAUCACUAAUGUACACGGAAAAGAGAUAGAAAAAAUUAAAAUGAAUGGAAAUAGCUUUUAUUUGAAGCUUGAUUUAGUUGAAGGUCAUGUCUUUAGUGCCAAGAUUGAUGAGAGUGUUGUUUAGCACAAAAGAUAUGGUCAUUUCAAUUUGAAGUCACUGAGGUUCAUGCAAGAAGCUGGUAUGGUUGAAGACAUGCCUGAAAUCUCAGUUAAUGCUCAAACUUAUGAAAGUUGUGAGCUAGGGAAGCAACAACAACAACCAUUCCCUCAAAAUAUGUCCAAGAGAGCUACUCACAAGCUGGAAUUAAUUCAUUCAGAUAUUUGUGGACCAAUGAGCAUAGCCUCAUUGAGCAACAAUGUGUAUUUUGCAUUAUUUAUUGAUGAUCUCAAUAGAAUGACUUGGGUUUAUUUUCUAAAAACCAAGUCACAAGUGCUCUCUGUGUUCAAAAGCUUCAAGAAAAUGGUUGAAACUCAAAGUGGCCAGAACGUUAAGGUGCUCAGAACUGAUAAUGGAGGUGAGUAUAUCUCAAAAGAGUUCAAUGUCUUUUGUCAAGAAGCUGGAAUUGUACACCAGCUAACAGCUCCAUACUCACCACAGCAGAAUGGAGUCUCUGAGAGGAAGAACAUAACCGUGAUGGAGAUGGCAAGGUGCAUGCUAUUUGAGAAGAAGCUACCAAAACUUCUAUGGGCUGAAGCAAUCAACACCUCAGUAUAUUUGCUUAACAGACUACCAACUAAGUCUGUUCAGAGCAAAACACCAAUAGAGGCAUGGUCUGGUGUAAAACCUUCUGUCAAGCACCUGAAAGUUUUUGGCUCAUUUUGUUAUCUUCAUGUGCCAUUUGUCAAGAGAGGGAAGCUUGAUGAAAGAGCUGAGAAAGGUGUUUUUGUUGGGUAUGUAGUUGAAUCAAAAGGUUACAGAAUUUAUAGCUUGAGUAAAAUGAAAAUUGUGAUAAGUAGAGAUGUGCACUUUGAUGAAAACUCCUACUGGAAUUGGGACUUGAAGAAAGUUCAUAAAUGUGAUCAAACCACUCCAUCUAUUCUUGAACCAGCAAUAGAAAGUACAAUCAUUGAAGGUCCACUUGAUGUUGAAGCAACUUCAGACACACCCGUGCUUAAGAUGAGGCCAUUAUCUGAUGUGUAUGAGAGGUGCAAUCUUGUACAUGCUGAGCUUACAUGUUACAUGGAAGCUGCAAGAUUUCUAUAAGGCUACUACUUGCACUUGCUGGUCAAAUGGGAUGGAAAGUGUACCAUUUAGAUGUCAAGUCAGCUUUUCUAAAUGGUAUACUUCUUGAAGAAAUUUAUGUUCAACAACCAGAAGGCUUUGAGGUUAUUGGCCAUGAACGUAAAGUGUACAAGCUACAUAAGGCUCUCUAUGGUUUGAAGCAAGCACCAAGGGCCUGGUAUAGCAGAAUUGAUUCUCAUCUGAUCCAACUUGGAUUUAGGAGGAGUGAAUAUGAAGCUACUUUGUAUUUGAAACAAAAUGAUGAUGGUUUGCAACUGGUAGUAUCACUUUAUGUUGAUGACAUGCUAGUGAUUGGAAGCAAUGUAAAAUUGCUAGCUGAUUUCAAAAUGGAAAUGCAGGAUGUAUUUGAGAUGUCUGACCUUGGCAUCAUGAACUACUUCCUUGGAAUGGAAAUAUACCAAUGCAGCUGGGGUAUCUUCAUUUCACAAAGAAAAUAUGCUAUGGAUAUUCUCAAGAAAUUCAAGCUAGAAUCAUGCAAAGAAGUAGCAACUCCACUGGCACAAAAUGAGAAAAUUUCAAAGAAUGAUGGUGAGAAACUUGAGGAACCCUCUGCAUAUAGAAGCUUGGUGGGCAGCCUACUAUACUUGAUAGUAACCAGACCUGACUUGAUGUUUCCAGCUAGUUUGCUUUCAAGGUUCUUGAGUUCACCUAGAAAUGUUCACAUGGGAGUUGCAAAGAGGGUGCUAAAGUAUGUUAAAGGUACAACAAACCUUGGCAUUUGGUAUUUAAAGACAGGAGGAGUUAAGCUAGAUGGUUAUGCUGAUAGUGAUUGGGUAGGAAGUGUUGAUUAUAUGAAGAGCACUUCAGGUUAUGUAUUUACAAUCGGUUCAGGUGUCAUAUGCUGGAAUUCAAGAAAGCAAGAAGUAGUGGCACAAUCAACUACAGAAGCUGAGUAUAUCUCCUUAGCAGCUGCUGCAAAUCAAGCAAUAUGGUUGAGAAAAUUGCUUGCUGAUUUAGGCCAGGAACAAAGCUCACCAACUGAGCUUUGCUGUGACAAUAAGUCAGCCAUUUCCAUUACUCAAAAUUCUGUCCAACAUGGCAGAACCAAGCACAUAAAUGUAAAAUUCCACUCCAUUAGGGAAGCUGGAAAGAAUUCACUUGUUAAGCUGCAUUAUUACUCAACUGAUGAGCAACUUGCUGACAUAAUGACUAAAGGACUUCCUAAAUCAAGGCUGGAGUUCCUAAGGUUGAAGCUUGGUAUGCCCAAGGCAAAUCUCAAGGAGGAGUGUUAGAAUUCAUGAGAGUUUGCCUUUGAAAAUGUCUUAGUUAGACUCAGUCUCUGUUUUGCUCCGUAAUUUUCAGUUUUUCUGUUAGUAGAAGUAGUCAUAGCAGUUGAGAGUUUUUAGCAUUUUCAGUUUGGUUGUAAGCCUAUAAAUAGGCAUUCUCAUUGGUGAAAUAUUGUGUGCCUUUCUCCAACUCAAUACUCUAAUAUUUUUUGCAAGUUUUAGUUCCUUAUUUUUCUCCAGAUUUUAACAGGAUAAUCAAUCAACAUGAAAGUGAGUGACAAGAUUAAGUGUGGAAACUGGAAGUGAGUAGAAUAAGCAGAUCUCUUCUUCACUUGCAGUAACUUCUUCUCCAUUCAGAUUCAGAGAUCUUAGAAUUGUAGCUUCAACUUAACUCUCAGAAUCUUAAAGACAAAGUUUGCUCAAGUUUCAAAAACUCACAGAAAAAUUUCUCCACCUGUUUCUCUUAAUCCCAUGAGGCGAGAGACAUGAAGCACACACUUAUUGGCUUUUUUCCAUGCAAGUUUCAAGGUGGAGCAUCAAAUGAACUAAAACAUUCCCUCAAAUCCUAGUGGAAAUUCACACUAGAAAUUUCAGAAUUUGCUAAAGAAAAGUUUAAUUCAUUUUCUCCAUGAAUAAAAAAGCAUGUGAGGGCAUUUUAACUUCCUAAUAAUUAUUAUAGUAAACUAUAAUUCUCAUUAUUUAAACUCAUGAUCCUUAAUUUUAUCAUCACAUUUUGAAAAGACUUUCGUCAUCCCUUCCAUGAAUUAAUUGAUGUUUAAGGAGGUAUAAUAAACUUUUAAUUGAAUUUAACAUUAUUUCUAUUCUUAGACUCAUCUUAAACUCUUAUUUUUUUAUACUCUUAUCAAAACAAAAAAAAACUUAACAAAAAAAAAAAGAUUUCAAUUACUCCGUGUUCAUAAGGAAAAAUGGCUGAAUGUUAUGAAAAUCAUACCUCAAUUGUUGAUUUAAAGCAUUUGAACAGAGAAACACCAAGUAGACUCGAUGGACUUGAUAAAGAUUCCAAACAUGUGCAACUGUGGACAUCUAGAACUCGUAAACUUGGUGGAAGCUCUGGAACUUGUAGAAGCCCCUGGCAGUGACUCAAUUCAAGGACUCUCAGUUUAGAAAGUUGAAUGAUGCCUGCAAGUAUGCUACUAAAACAGUCCAUGCUUAGAUUUAGACCUGAAGCGUGCAAACCCUCUAAACAUUGCAAACUCCUCAGGUUCUCGGGAAAUUUCUCAAGUUUUGUACAGAAACUGACAUUUAGAAUUUUGAGAGAACUCAAAUUACAAAUGCUUUCUGGAAGACUCACAAGGUUGGUGCAUUCUGCAAGAUUCAAAUAUUGAAGCCCUCUUAAAUAUUGAAUUGAUGUUGGUAGUUCUUCUAUAGCAGUUCCAUCUAAAUGAAGCUCUCUUAAAUUUUCCACAUCCUCAAUGAUUUCCGGAAAGCUCCUUAAUCGUAAACAGCCUGAGCAGAAGAGAGUUGUAAGGGAUUUCAACUCACAAAUGCUACUGGGAAGACGCUCAAGGUUUUUGCAUUCUCGCAAACAUAAGCUAUUAAGUUUAGGGGGACACUCAAUAGUGGGCAGUUCAUUGAUGGCAUUUCCCUUUAAACAAAGCUUCCGUCGGGAUUGCACAUCCUCUUGACAUUCCCGGCAAAUGGUGGGUAUCAUUGCUUUACCAUUGUUCUUUUCAUGAUCAUGGGCAUAUAUAAGAUGGAUCCCACACUCUUCCACUUUCAUUGCUUUACCACGUGAGAAGCCACAAAAUGAAGCUGUCAACUGCCUCCAUUUAUUUGAGGGGUACUUCUUCACAAUCUCCACCUUCGGAUAAUAAGUCAUCCAC